UCACAGCUGAGGCAGGGAGUGGCGACUAGAGGCCCAGUGUGACUCAGAUUGGGCCAUCAUUGGAAAAUAACAGAUACGCGCUGGUGUCUCAGGCUGAAUUCACACCUCAGCACCUGAGUGAGCUGGAGGACAUGGAGUUCAUCUGCCAGGUGCACCAUGAGGCACUGACGGAGAACCCCAUCGAGAAGAGCUGUUCAGUAAUCCCAGGUCUGCUCUCCCGGCCGGUCAUGUCAGACAUUCAGCUCUCUGACUUUAAAGGACUUGGCCAGCCAUGCACCCUGUGCUGCUCCAUCCAGGACUUCUUCCCCAAGGACAUCACAGUGACCUGGAGGUGGGAAGGUGGGAGCAGAUCAGAUGUCACAGAUUUAAUGUGUGUCCCGAAGAGAGGAGAGCAGAGCUACAAUCUGGAGUCCAAGGCCACCUUCACAACCCACACUCUGAUGGACCUGGAGAAGGCACAGUACAUCUGUAAGGUCAACCACGAGACUCUGAAGGGCAAAGGCAUUGAGAAGAAGACUGGAGACCUGACCGUACCAGGCCUUGUUCUUAAGCCCAAAGCCUCAGAUGUGCAGGUUCACUUCACCAAGUCUGGUCAGCCCUGCCAAAUGGCCUACAUCAUCUCUGACUUUUACACCAAAGAGGUCACGGUGACCUGGGAGAAGAGACAGAAGGGAGAAGUGAGAGUAGUCCAGGCAGGGUCGGAGGAGUGGAAGGCCACGGUGUGUCAGUACGGGCCAUCAGUAGCAGAUACGGGGUAUUUACUACUGUCUUGUCUUGUGUUGGCCCCUCGGUCCCUUGGUGACCUGGAGGGCAUGGAGUUUGUGUGCAAAGUGGACCACAAGAGCCUGAAAGGGGAGAUCAUUGAGAGGAUCUGCUCAGAGACUCCAGGUGAGAAAUGCGAUGAGAAUCCUCAUCUUCAGCCACAUGGAACAUAAUGUCCUCUUCACUGUUUUCUGUUUCUGAUGGCUUCAUAAGUCCGAGAUACCACAAAAGAUUUUUCUUACCUAAUGAUAUCCCACCUGAUGCUAGUCUGAACAUUGGAUUGAGGUUCAUUUUGCAUGCAAGGCUAUCUGAGAGUUUUUGAAAAGGUCAAAGUGAGGCAGCUGCUUGUUAACUUUCACAGUUUGGAUUCCUUUUGACAACAAAGUGCCGUCCCCUCCUCUGUCCUACUGAACAUUCAAUCAAACGUCUGUGCCUAGAGGUGUCCUCUACGCGGCUCUGCCUGUUUCAGGUGCUGAGCCCAUAACUUCAUGCAGUGCCGCC